rfam:Brassica napus, WGS project CCCW01000000 data, contig: 30615
CCGACCUUGGCUCAGUUGGUAGAGCGGAAGACUGUAGUCUUUGACAGCAAAUCUUUAGGUCGCUGGUUCGCUCCGGCAGGUCGGA